AAAGUCUGGUCAACAAGCUACAGACACUGAAUAAUCCUCAGUGCACCCAGAAAGCCUCAUUGAUGACUGCUGGAUUGGGGUUGUAAUAAUUUUUGCACUGGUUAUAGAGUCAGCAAGAAGAUUAAAGUGGAGGAGUGUCUGUGAUAUGGCCGCCGCCACAGACACACACCUGACGUCUCCUACCCUCAGUUCACAGCCUACCUCUUCCUCACCCCAACCACCCUGACAAACCUGGCCAGCAGAGCAGUAGGUCUAACUGUACCACAUGGUGCCUUCCCAGUCACCUGAGGACGUUGGUUGAUCUAUUAGUUGUAAUUCAACUGGCGGGAUGAAGGAUGAGGGAAUGGAUGGACCGGGACAUUUUUAAACCUCACCAAAAUAAAAUGCAAAGAGUUCAGCUGUUCCACUCUGUCCUCUACCGCCAGCACGCUUCCCUGACAAGGACCUUGACCCAUCUCUGAGGAACCACAGGCA